UCCGUGUUGCUUGCCCAAUGUGAUGGAAAUUGAUCCCGGAUGAGUCCUAAUUUUUACCUCUCACCACUUGGUGGUGUUAGGUUGACGUAGAAGUACUGCCCGUUCUCCUUGAAUGCUUCGCCCUUUUGCGUUGCACUCGUGGCUCAUUGGGCAGCUACUACUAGUUCCCUCGGAUACAGAACUUUCGAAGGGUGCAUAGCAUGUUGCUGUUGCAUACCCAUAAAAUGUUCAUGGCCCGAUGCGUACGACGGUUGUGCCCGCCUUGGUCCCCGUCUUUAACUAGUUUGGACGGGUCUCAUGCGGUGCUGACGUCGCAGAGGAAUGCUACCUGGUUGAUCCUGCCAGUAGUCAUAUGCUUGUCUCAA
rnacentral:misc_RNA from 1 species